rnacentral:rRNA from 1 species
GCCUAAAGCGUCCGUAGCCGGCUCUGUUAGUUUUCGGUUAAAUCCAUAUGCUCAACAUAUGGGCCGCCGGGAAUACUACAAAGCUAGGGAGUGGGAGAGGUAGACGGUACUCCGUAGGAAGGGGUAAAAUCCUUUGAUCUAUGGAUGACCACCAGUGGCGAAGGCGGUCUACCAGAACACGUUCGACGGUGAGGGAUGAAAGCUGGGGGAGCAAACCGGAUUAGAUACCCGGGUAGUCCCAGCUGUAAACGAUGCAGACUCGGUGAUGCAUUGGCUUGUGGCCAGUGCAGUGCCGCAGGGAAGCCGUUAAGUUUGCCGCCUGGGAAGUACGUACGCAAGUAUGAAACUUAAAGGAAUUGGCGGGGGAGCACCACAAGGGGUGAAGCCUGCGGUUCAAUUGGAGUCAACGCCAGAAAUCUUACCCGGAGAGACAGCAGAAUGAAGGUCAAGCUGAAGACUUUACCAGACAAGCUGAGAGGUGGUGCAUGGCCGUCGCCAGCUCGUGCCGUGAGAUGUCCUGUUAAGUCAGGUAACGAGCGAGACCCUUGCCUCUAGUUGCCACCAUUGCUCUCUGGAGCAGUGGGGCGAAUUAGCGGGACCGCCGCAGUUAAUGCGGAGGAAGGAAAGGGCUACGGCAGGUCAGUAUGCCCCGAA